AUUACUGUGAAGUGAAGGAACUGCAGAGAGUGUGCUGGGAGGUCAUUUCCUCUCACAGACAUUGGCUGAAAACCUUCUGAGGCAUGCAUAGAUGCUUGGAUCUGAAUUUCUUCGUGGCCAAAAUGUUGUAACCCUAUCAAAAAGGAACUGAGAAUGUACUGACUUCCUAUCAGAAAUUACUGGCAAAAUCAUCAUGCUUGGAGAAAUGAAAAGUGUAAUUUCCUAGAGAAGAAAGGUUCUGUUUAUGUUACAGCGGGAGAUGAUAAUAGGAAGGGAACUGAUUUGACUACACAUGGAUUUCUACUGCUAUUUGGACUUCUCCAAGGAUAGCGCAUCCGGUGUACCCUUUCCUGCCAUCCAAUAAGAGGUUGGGAGGUGGAGGAAGCAAGCAGAGAAGAUCGAUGCAAGAGAUAAAGAAAAGACAGGAGCAGGAAGGUGAAAACAACAAAGGGAAUCAGAAUAGAUAUAUUUGGGAUAAGCAUGGGAACUUCCACAAGAUGCAAUCCUUCAUGAACUGCUCCAACAUGGGUCCUUCUCAUAAGCUUCAGUUCUUCAAGAACUUCUCCAGAAUGAGUCCUUUCUGAUGGGUACAGUACAUCAGGAAUAAACCUGCAUGGGUCUACCAUGCCACCACAGUUCUUGCCCUGCCACAGAAGCUGCUCUUGUGUGAGUUCCUCUCCAGAAGCUGAAGUUCCUGCCGGGAAACUUCUCCAGUGUGGUCUUUUCACAGACUGGACCUUCAUUCAGAGGAUCCACCUACUGCGUGUCCUCCAGCACCUGGAGUACUUUUUUCCCCUUUUUUAUUCUCUGAGUUUGGUUUUUGUAGCUUUUUUCUUUUUCCCCCUCACAUGUAUUUUCUCUCUCACAGUUGCUGCUCAGCAUUUUUUUCUUUUUAAACUAUGUCUUCUAAGAAGUGCCACCAACUUCACUGAGGGUCUCACCUGUGUCCAGCACGGGUGCAGCUCCUGCUGUCUUCUCAUAGAGGCCACCUCUGCAGCCCCUUGAUAUCAACAUCUUGCCAUUUCCACCCAAUAAAUAAAUUUUAAUCAAGCAUUAGAUAUGUCCAUUUCUUAAGUCAUUGAAACAGCCACAUUUAAACUACUGUGUCCAGUUUGAGGCUUCUCAGUUCAAAAAAGACAAGAAUCUCCUAGAAGGGAUCCAGCAGAGGGCCACAAAGGUGAUUAAGGUCCUGGAGCAUCUCCAGUAUGAGGAAAGGCUGAAAGAUCUGGGUCUGUUCAGUCUGGUGAAAAGAAGACUGAGAGGGGAUCUGAUAAAUAUUUAAAAACAUCUAAAGGGAGACGGAAGUCAAAUGCAUGAUGCCAGGCUCUUUUUGGUGGUGCGUAGCAAUAGGAUAAGGAGUAAUGGCCUGAAACUUGAACACAGGAUGUUCCAUACAAACAUGAAGAAGAAAUUCAUUACAGUAAGGGUGAUGGAGCACUGGAACAGGUUGCCCAGAGAGGUUGUGGAGUCUCCCUCUAUGGAGAAAUUCACAACCCACCUGAAUGUCUACCUAUGCAACAUAUUGUAGGGUACCUGCCUUAGCAGGAGAGUUAAACUCUGAUCUUGAGGUCCCUUCCAACCCUUGCAAUUCCAUGACUCAAAAACAAUUCUCUAGAGAGAUAGAUCAAUGUUUCUUACACUAUUCUGUUUGUGCAUUUUGAAAGAAUUUAGAUAUGAACCUUGUACAGAAAUUAUUGUUUGUAUCAUAAAAUUUUUUACACUGAUUCUCUAAUAAAACAAAUGGUGAGAAAAAGUAAGACAAAUGAGGAAACAUUCAAGAACAUCUUAAAAGUAUAAAGAGAGAGAGAAGACAUAAAUAAAGAAGUAAACCAUUUCUGUGACUCACAGAAAAUACAGUUGUCUAAUGCAUAGAAUGUGCUCCUAUGUGGAGCCAGGAAUUGUACUCAGUGACCUUGUGGGUCCCUUCUAACUAGGGAUAGUAUAUGAUUCUGAAAUUUAUUCUGGCUCAAUUAUUGAGCUUUGUAAUUCAUAGUAGAGAAUUUUAAGCUCCGCUUAGUGCUAGGGGUCAAAAGAAUUUAUAUGUAUAUUAACUUCUAGAUUACUGUCUCUGUACUGAUCAGAAAAAUAAUCGUAUUCAUGAUUAGAGAACUAUAGAAAGCAUAGUAAACUCCUUAUUCACCUGACAUAACUUCAUAUGAGUAACACAGAUUUUAUGUGGCUCUUAAAUAGAACAGAUUAGUUGUUUUUUGUUUGUUUGUUUCCUUAUUUUGCUUAACAUGGGACUUAUUUCAUAAGCUGUUGAGGGAUAUAUGGAUAGAAUGGUCUAUCUCAUAAUAACCCAUUUAAAAAAUGUAAUUAAUCUUUAAACUCAUACCUCUUGAAAACAGGUAUCUGCAUAUACUACAGAACAACAGAAUCUUAACAAAGUCUAGAAUAGGCCUUCUUAGCUCAUCUGCCAGCAAGGACUCAAGUUUCCCAGGGCCCAGGGGCUUUGUUAGAUUGAGUCUUAAAUAUUUCCAGUGAGAGAGAUUCCAUCACUUCUCCAGGCAUUACAUACCAGUGAUUAAUCAUUCUCAAAGUAAAGGGUUUUUUUUUUCUUAUUUCCAUACAGAAUGUUCCUUAAGGCAGCCUGUUCACAUUGUCUCUUGUCCCAUACAUCCUUAUGAAGAUAGUAAUUUGAUCUUCACUGGACUACUUUUCACUUAAUGGAAGUGUGUGCCAGUGUGGUUCCACAUUCUCUGCACACACCCACAUCAGCCCCGAGUCUGUUGUUCUCAAUGCUGAAUAAACACAACUCUUUCAACAUUUUUCUUUGUCAGUCAAGUUCCCAAGCCAAAACCUUGGUAUCCCUCUGCUAGACACCCUCUAGUUUUUUUUAACCUCUCUUGAAGUAGGAGGUUCAGAAGAGGACACUUUUCCAAGGGUGGCAUUUCUAAUGCUAAAUACCGUGUAGUAAUCAUAACAAAAAAUCUAGCUAUACUUUUUCUGAUGACACCCUGGAAACAUUUGUCCUUCCUUACUACCAGGUCAUGCUGCGGGCUUACAUUGAGCUUGCGGUGCCCUAGAAUUCAGAGGGGCUUUCCAGUGGAGCUGCUCACAAUCACUAGUCUGUCACCUGUAAUUACAGAAUAUGUGAUUAUUUUGCCCCAGGAGCAGGAUUUACAUUUAUUUUUCUUAAACCUCAUGCAAUCUUUGUUGGCCUAUCUUCCAACCUGCUGAAAUCAGCCUGAAUUUUUGUCUCUUCCUUCCAGACUUAUGUACUUUGCUUCUCAGUAUGAUGUCAUCCACAACCAAAGUGACAGUGCAUUCAAUCCUGACAUCCAGCUUGCUCAUAACAUUAUUUAACAGUUCUGAGGACAGUACUGACUCCAAGGAAUUUGUCUUGUCCGGUUUCAUGCCAUUAACCAUCACCCUCUGAUUUCAGCAGUCUGGCUAGUUUUCUGCCAAUCUUGGUAUUCAUCUGUUCAUUAUAUAUAUUAUAUUAUAUAGUAUAUUAUAUUUUAGCAGCUUAUUAGCAAGGAAACUGUGAGACAGCAAAACAAAUGCCUUACUAAAAUCAAGGUAGAUUAUAUCCACAGCCACUGAGCUAGUUGUUUCACCAUAAAAGACAGUUAUGUAGACUUCAAAAAAUAUUUAUUUUAAUCAGUUGUCACAAGCAUGAAUUUUAAUCACUCAGUGAUGAUCUGAAAUAUCUGACUUAAUUAUUUGAUUAUGCUAUGUUUAAGCACUUCCAUGACCUUUUCAUAUCUAAUUUUCAUAUCUAAAAGGAAUUAAACAUAUCUAUAAUGUGGUAACCUUUUGCAAUAAGAGCUCACUUGCUUUAUACAACUUGUCUAUUUAAUUUAGAAAUCUGUUAGCCACUAAAUGCAGAUGACAGAGUGCUUCCCAGUAAAUCUGCAUUGUUUUUUUUUUUCACUUGACAUACACUAGAUGAUGAAUAUGUUAUAUGCUAUUGCACCACAUUUUUAUCAAUUCAUUCAUAAAAUUAAUAUACAUUUAUGGGUAGAAUUUAAACAAUGGAUGUAAUAUGUAGUUAAAAUAUUUUAGCUAAGUUAUUUGUAUGAAUGUGCAUGUCCUCUGAGUUAGCCUUGUAUGUUUGGUUUUAUAAAUUGACUUUAUUUACAGUUGCCAAUCAAUUUCACUUCAGUCUUUUUCACUAUUACAAGAUCCUGCUCAAAGAUCUUGUUCUGCUUAUAGUGUGAAUAGUGAAAAUUAUGCUCAUAACAAAAAUGUAAUGAAAAUUACAGGGGAGGGAAAAGAAGCAUCAAAAAGAAGCAUCACUAAAAUUCCUCAGGAUUUCAUUGUUAGUCCUUGAGUUAACAUGUUAUUUAACCAUAUAUAACUUUUACUCUAUGCUAUACUAAAAAAUCUCAGAAAUGUUAAAGCUAUUAGGGAUCUUUUUUCUUUCCAAAUUUUGUUCUAUACAUGUAGUCAUUUAUUUAUUUAUUUGUUUAUUUUACAACAGGUAGAAGAAUAAGUGGAUAGAAGUGUGUCACAGGCAUAUAUUUACCUUUCCAGAUGAGCAAGGAUAAGGAUAAGGAACUUACCACAGAUUUUUCUCUCAAUUCUUAUGUCUUCACAAAGGUGUGUUAAGAAGUUUAAGUAUGUAACAAUGUUCUACACUAUUUGAUUUCAAUAGAAUAUGAUAUAAAAUGUGAAGGGAAAUAUUUUCCUUACGUUUUCAGAAAUUAAAUGUCAAACUGUAAUUCUGAAAUAUCUACUGCAGAAUAAUUCGUUUGAGGAUUGUAACUUCUAAUGACAUAAAAUUGUUUGAAUCCAGUGGGAUUAAUACUGUGUAAUUUUUAACUGUUUACUACAGAUUCAGAAAGUUAAUUCUUUAUAUGCUAGAUUAUGAAGGCAAGUUAAUUCUUUUGAUUGGUGCUAUGAAGCUGGGAUGUUUUAGCCUGAAUGGUAAAAUAAUUCUAUUUGAAUUGCUUUAUUACUAUAUUAAGAUGAAUUAGAUUGGGAAAAAUUCUGUUUCACCUUUUCACAACAUAUUUCUUCUGAUACUCCAAAAACAGUUCAAGAAAGGUUGGAAAAUAAGUCUAGUCACUUUUAUCACUUCGGAAGGCAAGUACAGUCCUCUGAAGUACUAUGCUCAGAGUAAUGAAACCUCAAAAAAUAAGGAGAUCAAGAACAGAAUGAUUGCUGAUGACAAGUACUCCCACAUACAUACAGUUUUACUUGUAGUUUCAAAGUCUUCUAUUUUAUGUGAACAAACAAAUUUGUUAUAUAUUAUUUUCAUUUUCUCUGUCUUCCAUGAAGAACUUUUAUUCCCUUUCUUUUGACAACUAGCUUUUACUAUUGGAAUUUAACUUAAUAAGUCACCUUUAAACUCAACAGGUCCACAUCUUCCAACAAUUUGUGAUGACUACAUUUUCUAGAACAAACCUUAGUUACUUUGACUUUCUCAAGAACACUCCUUCUGGAAGAGCUAUGCUCAAACUAUGCAAAUUGUUUCAGGUGAAGUCUUAUUACUGCUAGUAUAUAAGUAUCUACUCCAUAUGUUUUUAUGGUUCAUUAUGAUAUAUAUAUAUAUAUAUUUCUUUUUUCAAUUGCAAAGAAAACCAUGCUACAACAUGAUUGCCCUAUUUAAUUUGUUAUGCACCAUACUCCACAGCUUUGUAAAUGUCUAAUUUAGCCAGAUAGCCUUAUCAUGCAUUUCUUCAACUAACUCCUUAUAUCUGUGAAAGACUUUGUCCUUAUGGAAUUACUUCAUUAAAAAAAAAAAAAUCUAUAAAAUAUUAUUAUUUUUAAAUGCUAAAUUAAUACUACGAUAUUGUUCCUACAACCUCUGUAAGUUCAUCUUUAAAUAUAUACAUAAUCCAUGUCAUUAAUUAAAAAGUCAAAUCGUACUGGAUUUAAUUCAGACUCAUUUUGAAUUGACAUGAUCCUACUGUAUCUUACAAAAGACUUCUCUAGCACAUUAUCUUUUAUCUGACAGUGGUCAGUAACUGUUGUCAAUGAAUAAACAAAUAUGGAAAGCAUAUGUUGACAUUCUUCUCAAAUAUCCUUUAAUGUUUAUUAAACUGUAGUUCAGAGACUUCCAUAUAUGCUUUUCCAGUGUGAGAUUUCAUCUCUAAAUACAAGAAAAAAGUAUGGAUAUUCAGCAUUACAUUCUAAAAUUUUCUCAUCUGAAUUAAAUAUAUUCUGAGAUUAUGUUCACCAAUAUCCCAAGCACUCCACACAUUUCUCAGGGCUACUCACUUACAUUUACUCUUAGAAAUAGUUUGAAUGGAUUCCAGUUUUCAUAUUCAAUUAAAGAAUAUCACAGACUCUCUGUGAACACUAAUGUCACCUGUGAAAAAUUGUUAAUAAAUAUUCACUUUUAAUGACAUAUCUCUGUGCCUUCUCCUACAUUAUACCCUAAUUCAAGUAACUGUUAAUUAUUAAAAUAGAGCAUUGUUUUAAGGCGAUUCUCUCUCUCUCUCUCUCUUUUUUUUUUUUUUUUUUUUUUUUUUUUCCCCACCAUCCUCAUUAUAUUGGCCAUAGUGCCCAUGGGACUAGAUUUGAAGAUUUUUUCAAUCUCUUUAUAAUUUAUAACACAGAGAUCACUAACGUAAGGCAGUAUUUGUCAUCAUCUAAUUACUCAAAAACAGAGUUUAAACACUGAAAUACUGGGAAAACAUUUCUAGCUAUUAUGGAAAAAAUUACUGGCUGGGCUGAAAUUUUACCUGAAAUGACGAAUUCAUCUCCGACCAUCUGGUAAAGAGCAUAUCAUGCUUUAAGCAAAAUACAGUGAUAAGAUUUUAUUAACACUUUCUUCCAUAAGUAACAGAUAAAUUUAAGAAUAAAUAACAUUUUCUUCCUUUUUAUCUCCUUAAAAAAAAAAAAAAAAAAAGUUAAUAGACUUUAUUUUUAAACUUAGAAAAUUAAAAGCCCAAGAGAACUAAUUACUGAUCUUCACCAGGUUUGAAUUCUACUAGGAACAAGCAAUGUAACCUCAUAGUCACAUAUGUUUUGUCAUGGAAGUGUCUGAGAUUCACUUUUCUAUUUUGACUUGUAUUCAGCCCCAUCAAACACAUUUGUACAUGGCUCUGAAAGCAACAUUAUAUCAGUGCAAGUCAAUUAUCAAUUAACUUAGCAUUACUUAUAUUGCUAAAUAAUAUUAAUAUUAGCUAAAUUAGGCUCAGAACAUAGCACUGACAGUUAAUAACAGUUAAUACUAAGGCAAGCAAGAGACAUAUUAAAUACACCUGAAGGUAUUUGACAGGCAAGACUGUGAAUGAUGCUGGUGCAAACUUACAGUUAUGAUAGAAAAACUGUUCAAUAAAAUAGGAAUCCAAAUAAGACUCUUGUACUCACAUUGUCUCAGUCUUUAGAGGCUGCACAUGAACAUUGUACUGAAAGCACAACACAAACCUCCGGUAACGUACUUGUGUUAAGAUGGAUGCUGUCAAUCAAGUGUACAUCUGUGAUAAUGAAAAAGAGAAAUUGCUGUUUGGAAAUGAUUUGUUAUUGAAGUUCUGUCCACUUCUCAAUGUAAUCCAUAAAAUGAUUUGAUUUUGGUGAAGGGACAAUAUUCCAUGUAGUAGCUUGAUAAGAGAAGGAGAGUGGAAAGUACUGUUAUUUGCUGUCAUGGGAAGAUCAGUACUUCCUCUUUUCUUUUUGGCAUCCUAACUGCAAUGAGCAGCCCUGUCUCUCCCUGCAUCCAUACUGUUAAAUACGGGAUUACCAUUUUCUAACUCACCUAUUUUAUCUUAUUUUUCUAUUUAUGUGUUCAGUGUUUUGGAGCAAA
ensembl:lncRNA